AGGGAGAAAAUGGUCUGAUAGGUACUCCUGGUAUCCCUGGUGAUUUUGGAGAAAAGGGUGAACGUGGUUUCCAGGGGGACAAAGGAGAAACAGGUGAAAAGGGGGAAAAGGGAGACCAAGGAGAGAAAGGAACCGACGGCAUCCCUGGGAGAGAUGGUUUAAAAGGUGAUGCCGGUGAUCAUGGAAUGCCUGGUCCAAAGGGUGAAAAGGGCGAUAUAGGGCCUCCAGGACCAGCUGCUCUUAGCAGUGUGCUAGGGAUAGAAGGUCCUCAAGGCCCACCUGGGAAAGAAGGUCAAAGGGGACGACGAGGCAAGCCUGGACUACCUGGGAAACAAGGACCACCAGGACCUCCUGGCCCUCCAGGUGCUCCAGAAUAUCCAGAUACUUUUAAAGAGCCAUAUUACCAGG